rnacentral:rRNA from 1 species
CGAGGAAUUUUGCGCAAUGGGCGAAAGCCUGACGCAGCAACGCCGCGUGGGUGAGGAAGGCCUUCGGGUCGUAAAGCCCUUUUGUCGGGGACGAAUUGGUGACGGUACCCGACGAAGAAGCCACGGCUAACUACGUGCCAGCAGCCGCGGUAAUACGUAGGUGGCGAGCGUUGUCCGGAUUUAUUGGGCGUAAAGGGCGCGCAGGCGGUGCGGUAAGACUGCCGUGAAAUCUCCCGGCUCAACUGGGAGGGGGCGGUGGAGACUGCCGGACUGGAGGGACCUAGAGGCCGGUGGAAUUCCCGGUGUAGUGGUGAAAUGCGUAGAGAUCGGGAGGAACACCAGUGGCGAAGGCGGCCGGCUGGGGGUACCCUGACGCUGAGGCGCGAAAGCGUGGGGAGCGAACCG